GUGGGUAACCUGCCCAUAAGAGGGGGAUAACAUCCGGAAACGGGUGCUAAUACCGCAUAGUUUUCUUGAUCGCAUGAUUGAGAAAGGAAAGACGGCCUUUGUGCUGUCGCUUAUGGAUGGACCCGCGGCGUAUUAGUUAGUUGGUGAGGUAAUGGCUCACCAAGACGAUGAUACGUAGCCGACCUGAGAGGGUGAUCGGCCACAUUGGGACUGAGACACGGCCCAAACUCCUACGGGAGGCAGCAGUAGGGAAUCUUCCGCAAUGGACGAAAGUCUGACGGAGCAACGCCGCGUGAGUGAAGAAGGUUUUCGGAUCGUAAAACUCUGUUGUCAGAGAAGAACAAGUCGGAGAGUAACUGCUCCGGCCUUGACGGUAUCUGACCAGAAAGCCACGGCUAACUACGUGCCAGCAGCCGCGGUAAUACGUAGGUGGCAAGCGUUGUCCGGAUUUAUUGGGCGUAAAGCGAGCGCAGGCGGUUCCUUAAGUCUGAUGUGAAAGCCCACGGCUCAACCGUGGAAGGUCAUUGGAAACUGGGGAACUUGAGUGCAGAAGAGGAGAGUGGAAUUCCAUGUGUAGCGGUGAAAUGCGUAGAUAUAUGGAGGAACACCAGUGGCGAAGGCCACUCUCUGGUCUGUAACUGACGCUGAGGCUCGAAACGUGUGGGAGCAU
rnacentral:rRNA from 1 species